ACAAAACUCCUCCUAUUAGACUGAUUUCGCUGCAUGAAUUGCCUUUAGCACUCGGGUUAUUGGUGUUUAGGAUAAGGACCUGGAGGUUUAUCCGGUACUUAAGUUAAAUUACCUGUCCAAGAAGCUUAGUGUAGUUACAUGAUGCAGAAUACACACGACAGUAAAAAGCAUUGUGGCUGUGUUCGUCGAGUACAAUAAAAUUAGUAGUUACACUAAACACACUCAUGCAACCCACACAAGUGCACAGAAGCCAGCAGAACUGGGCAUCAGUAGGAACAGCACCUCUCUAGAAAGCAGACUUGCUCUCAUGAGAAGAAAUGCAAGGUCUGGCAAGCCAUCACCCACACACACACGUACAGAGGCAGCUGGUCUGGUCAUCGACAUUGCUGUCUGUGUGCUAUAAUUAUUUACCUACCAUCUGUCACACAUAAAACCCAUUGUCUCAGUCUGUGUGCUGUUAGUAGCGCCACAGACAGCAGCUAAGGUACUGUAGCCUUCUUUACAUUCAUUUACACUUACCUAUGUAGAGAGACUGCAUUAUAGAGCUCUGUGCACUGCUGUGUAUUGUGACUGUAGAUGUGUUAUCACUUUUUCGGGACUUAAAGAGAAGGUUUCACAAUGGCGGACGA